AAAUCCCAAAUCAUCUAAAUUCUAAUCAUAUAAUCACAAUUAGUCUAUGUUCUUCUCUACUAUAUUCAACCUUAAGUAGAUUAAUGAGCCUGUACAGAUCUAGUUUUCUCCAAUUAUUACUUGAGAUACUAAUUCAGCACUUACUUGAAACGGAUAGAUGUGUCUAUAUAUGUUAGCUCUAUCUCCUUCAAAUAUUUAUUUUUCAAAGGAGUUGCAUGUCAAAAGUCUGAAAACUUUGGCUAAGGGUACUAAUGCUAUAAGCCUAAAUUUACUUUUUCUUAACUUAAUGCCCAUCUAUUAAUAAUCACUACUUACUUGC
rnacentral:lncRNA from 1 species